rfam:Nomascus leucogenys chromosome X, whole genome shotgun sequence.
GUUUUCUAUUUGUCAUGAAUUUUAAAUACUAUAUAAGUAUUGACCAUUAAUACUGACACAUUAAUACUUUUAUGUACGUCGUGCAUUGUUGCUAUUCACCAUGAAUAAUAUAUA